AUCUCACAUCCUUCCAUCCUCUAAUGGAGACAGACUCAUGCAGUCUUAGAUUUGGAUAUGACUUGAGUAAAGUUCUUCCAACUUAUGUGCCACAACACAAUGGUUACUUUAUGAAACAACAACUCUCUUUGAAAGAUCUGUCAGAGAAAAAAGUUUAAAAGAUCCCCUCCAGCUUCUUUGAACUGAUGAAACUUCUGUCAUUUGAAGCCACAGUGGAUACAACUUUAUGUGACAGUUUUGAACCUCGGAAUGCAGAUAUUAAGUCUUUCUUUAGUUAUUGCUUCUCCAGGACAUACCUAUUCAGUUUCCUCAAAUGAUUCUAAAAUGAGAAGGCUAGGAAAACCUCCAUGACAUAGCCACCACCCCACCUGACAGGAAAAUGUUUUUUGUUUCAAAAUAUAGGGUCUAGAACUGAAUACUCAAAUGUGAUCGCAUCGACCCUUAUUAAAAUAUGUCUAUUAUUUCCUCAACUUUUAUUUCAUCAAAAAUAUAAAGAGACGUUUGGG
rnacentral:lncRNA from 13 species